GUUUUACCAUCGCACAUCACCAUAAGAAGAUGGGUAACCUGGCAUACAUAGGCUAGCACCAGCAAGAGGAGAUUCUUCUGAAAGAAGACUGGCAGUAUCUAGCAGGACACUGGAAAGUCCAGAAAGACAAUGGAAGACAGAAUUUUGGUUAGUGACAUCUGGCUGUCCAUUUAACCUGAAGGAAACAUGACUUGAAGGAACGAACGAUAGCAAUUCCCGAUUAGUGAUAUGAGGACAACAAAAUGGCCAGGAUUGGGUAACAAGAAAAAAGUGGUUCCCAGAGUUGGCUGGUAUUGUUGAUCUCAAUCAACAGGAAGCAAAGAGUCUGGAGGAAGAAGGGAAGAAUAGUGGGAAGGAAUGAAUAUGAAUGACUCUUCCUUAUGUGACCAGCAAAUUCAGCAGUAAAACCUAAUGAAAGAGAACGAGCUAAGUAGAACCACGAAAAGCUCAAAGGUUGUGAGUCUCCUCUGCUGUGAAUUAUCAACAUUUGGUAAGGACUCUCCAUGACAAACCCACUCUAUAAUCAUGUGUGACAGAAAUUAAAAUAAAGACACUCUGCAACCACAAAAAUGACCAAGUUUCCCCUGAUCCAGCUAACCUGAACAACUAUCAUUUCUUCUCCCAAAACGAUUCUAUCCAUGCUUUGUUCAUCCUGCCUUUGCA